AUUGAACGCUGGCGGCAGGCCUAACACAUGCAAGUCGAGCGGAUGAAGGGAGCUUGCUCCUGGAUUCAGCGGCGGACGGGUGAGUAAUGCCUAGGAAUCUGCCUGGUAGUGGGGGAUAACGUCCGGAAACGGGCGCUAAUACCGCAUACGUCCUGAGGAAGAAAGUGGGGGAUCUUCGGACCUCACGCUACCAGAUGAGCCUAGGUCGGAUUAGCUAGUUGGUGGGGUAAAGGCCUACCAAGGCGACGAUCCGUAACUGGUCUGAGAGGAUGAUCAGUCACACUGGAACUGAGACACGGUCCAGACUCCUACGGGAGGCAGCAGUGGGGAAUAUUGGACAAUGGGCGAAAGCCUGAUCCAGCCAUGCCGCGUGUGUGAAGAAGGUCUUCGGAUUGUAAAGCACUUUAAGUUGGGAGGAAGGGCAGUAAGUUAAUACCUUGCUGUUUUGACGUUACCAACAGAAUAAGCACCGGCUAACUUCGUG
rnacentral:rRNA from 1 species